AAGCAGUCUUUGAAAAUUGAAAAUGUGCAAUAGUUUAAGGGAACGCAGUGAAAAACUGCGACGGACGCGCCGCUGUGAGCGUUUCGGGUUGCCCGAAGACUGCUUCAUUAAGCCACUGCCAAAGGCGGGAAGGCGAAGCAGUUAUACGCAAGUCAGAAAACCUUUCUAUUGCUUUAAUGCUUG
rnacentral:ncRNA from 2 species